UACGUAGGGUGCGAGCGUUAAUCGGAAUUACUGGGCGUAAAGCGUGCGCAGGCGGUUUUGUAAGCCAGAUGUGAAAUCCCCGGGCUUAACCUGGGAAUGGCAUUUGGGACUGCAAGGCUUGAGUGCGGCAGAGGAGACUGGAAUUCCUGGUGUAGCAGUGAAAUGCGCAGAUAUCAGGAAGAACACCCGUGGCGAAGGCGGCUCUCUGGGACGGUACUGACGCUGAGACGCGAAAGCGUGGGGAGCGAACAGG
rnacentral:rRNA from 1 species